CUAUAGCUAUUGCUUCCUCCACCAUGACUUGAUAUUUUCUUGUCCUUGAGAACUAUUUUGGUGGUUAUGUUGCUUUUAUCAAUGUUGUUGUUGAUGUUCUUGACUGUGUCUUCAUCAGUGGAAUGGACAUGCCCACUCUCUAGUUUGUUAGUUUGCAAGAUCAGUACGAGGAGAAAGAUAACCACCAAUGACGAACUCGUCUUCAUUUUUCUUGAUUUUCCACAAAGUUUGUAUUGUUUUCUUUGAUUUGAUAUGACAGCUUCUUCGAUUUGCCACCAAUGACGAACUUGUCUUCAUUUUUCUUGAUUUUCCACAAAGUUUGUAUUGUUUUC
rnacentral:lncRNA from 1 species